rnacentral:rRNA from 1 species
UACGUAGGGGGCAAGCGUUGUCCGGAUUUAUUGGGCGUAAAGAGCGUGUAGGCGGCCAGGUAGGUCUGCUGUGAAAACUCGAGGCUUAACCUCGAGCUGUCGGCGGAAACCAUCUGGCUAGAGUCCGGAAGAGGAGAAUGGAAUUCCCGGUGUAGCGGUGAAAUGCGCAGAUAUCGGGAAGAACACCCGUGGCGAAGGCGGCCUGCUGGAUCUCUACUGACGCUGAGGCGCGAAAGCCAGGGGAGCAAACGGGG